rfam:Gossypium arboreum cultivar AKA8401 contig_130083_1, whole genome shotgun sequence.
AUACCGUGAUGAGGGUGCUUUCGUAAUAACUCCUUGAAUCACUUUUAUGCCUCGUAUAAAGAUUAUUCAUCAAGUUGCUAAGAUGAAGUGAUUUCAUUUUGGAUCGU